rnacentral:rRNA from 1 species
GACGAACGCUGGCGGCGUGCUUAACACAUGCAAGUCGAACGAAGUGGCGAACGGGUGAGUAACGCGUAAUCAACCUGCCCUUCAGAGGGGGACAACAGUUGGAAACGACUGCUAAUACCGCAUACAGAAGGCCGAGAUUGCGCCUGAUUAGCUAGGUGGAGGGGUAACGGCCAACCAAGGCGAUGAUCAGUAGCCGGUCUGAGAGGAUGAACGGCCACAUUGGGACUGAGACACGGCCCAGACUCCUACGGGAGGCAGCAGUGGGGAAUCUUCCGCAAUGGACGAAAGUCUGACGGAGCAACGCCGCGUGAGUGAUGACGGCCUUCGGGUUGUAAAGCUCUGUUAAUCGGGACGCGGGAUGGGAAUAGAAAGCCACGGCUAACUACGUGCCAGCAGCCGCGGUAAUA